rnacentral:rRNA from 1 species
AACGAACGCUGGCGGCAUGCCUAACACAUGCAAGUCGAACGAAGCCUUCGGGCUUAGUGGCGCACGGGUGCGUAACGCGUGGGAAUCUGCCCUUGGGUUCGGAAUAACAGUUAGAAAUGACUGCUAAUACCGAAUGAUGUCUUCGGACCAAAGAUUUAUCGCCCAAGGAUGAGCCCGCGUCGGAUUAGCUAGUUGGUGAGGUAAAGGCUCACCAAGGCGACGAUCCGUAGCUGGUCUGAGAGGAUGAUCAGCCACACUGGGACUGAGACACGGCCCAGACUCCUACGGGAGGCAGCAGUGGGGAAUAUUGGGACAAUGGGGGCGAAACCCUGGAUCCAGCAAUGCCGCGUGAGUGAUGAAGGCCUUAGGGUUGUAAAGCUCUUUUACCAGGGACGAUGAUGACGGUACCUGGAAAGGAAGC